rnacentral:rRNA from 1 species
CAUGGCCUUUUGAUUAUGAAUUUAAGGUUUAGCCUGCCCAAUGAUUAUUUAAUGGCCGCGGUAUUUUGACCGUGCAAAGGUAGCAUAAUAAUUAGUUUCUUAAUUAGAAGCUGGAAUGAAUGGUUGAACGAGAUGAUUUCUGUCUCUUUUUUAAUUUUUAUAAAAUUUAAUUUUUAAGUAAAAAAGCUUAAAUAAUUUAAUAAGACGAGAAGACCCUAUAGAGUUUAAUAUUUAAUUUUUGUUGAAGAUUUUAGAAUUUAUUAUUUGAUUUAAAUUGAAUAUUUUGUUGGGGUGAUAGAAAGAUUAAUUGAACUCUUUUUAAAAAUUUAUACUGAUAAGUAUGUUUUUGAUCCAUAAUUAUAUGAUUAAAAGAUUAAAUUACCUUAGGGAUAACAGCGUUAUUUUUUUUGAGAGUUCUAAUCGAUAAAAGAAAUUGCGACCUCGAUGUUGGAUUAAGGUUUAUUUUGGGAGCAAAAGCUUAAAUAUUGGGUCUGUUCGACCUUUAAAACUUUACAUGAUCUGAGU